AUUGAACGCUGGCGGCAGGCCUAACACAUGCAAGUCGAACGAGUGGCGGACGGGUGCGUAAUGUCUGGGAAACUGCCUGAUGGAUGGGGAUAACUACUGGAAACGGUAGCUAAUACCGCAUACUCUCAGAUGUGCCACGAUGGGAUUAGCUAGUUGGUGGGGUAACGGCUCAACAAGAAGACGAUCCCGAGCUGGCCUGAGAGGAUGACCAGCCAGACCGGAACUGAGACACGGGCCAGACUCCUACGGAAGGCAGCAGUGGGGAAUAUUGCACAAUGGGCGCAAGCCUGAGACAGCCAUGCCGCGUGUAUGAAGAAGGCCUUCGGGUUGUAAAGUACGUUCAGCGGGGAGGCGUUACCCGCAGAAGAAGCACCGGCUAACUCCGUGCCAGCCGCCGCGGUAAUAC
rnacentral:rRNA from 1 species